rnacentral:rRNA from 1 species
UACGUAGGGUGCGAGCGUUGUCCGGAAUUAUUGGGCGUAAAGAGCUCGUAGGCGGUCUGCCGCGUCUGCUGUGAAAACCCGAGGCUCAACCUCGGGCCUGCGGUGGGUACGGGCAGACUAGAGUGAUGUAGGGGAGACUGGAAUUCCUGGUGUAGCGGUGAAAUGCGCAGAUAUCAGGAGGAACACCGAUGGCGAAGGCAGGUCUCUGGCAUUAACUGACGCUGAGGAGCGAAAGCAUGGGGAGCGAACAGG